rnacentral:rRNA from 1 species
AACGCGAAGAACCUUACCAAAUCUUGACAUCCUUUGAAAACUCUAGAGAUAGAGCUUUCCCCUUCGGGGGACAAAGUGACAGGUGGUGCAUGGUUGUCGUCAGCUCGUGUCGUGAGAUGUUGGGUUAAGUCCCGCAACGAGCGCAACCCUUAAGCUUAGUUGCCAUCAUUAAGUUGGGCACUCUAGGUUGACUGCCGGUGACAAACCGGAGGAAGGUGGGGAUGACGUCAAAUCAUCAUGCCCCUUAUGAUUUGGGCUACACACGUGCUACAAUGGACAAUACAAAGGGCAGCUAAACCGCGAGGUCAUGCAAAUCCCAUAAAGUUGUUCUCAGUUCGGAUUGUAGUCUGCAACUCGACUACAUGAAGCUGGAAUCGCUAGUAAUCGUAGAUCAGCAUGCUACGGUGAAUACGUUCCCGGGUCUUGUACACACCG